UACAGAGGGUGCGAGCGUUGUCCGGAAUCACUGGGCGUAAAGGGCGCGUAGGCGGCUUCUUAAGCGUGUGGUGAAAGCGCGGGGCUCAACCCCGCGUCGGCCAUGCGGACUGGGAGGCUGGAGCACGUCAGAGGCAGGCGGAAUUCCGGGUGUAGCGGUGGAAUGCGUAGAGAUCCGGAAGAACACCGGUGGCGAAGGCGGCCUGCUGGGACGGGGCUGACGCUGAGGCGCGAAAGCGUGGGGAGCAAACAGG
rnacentral:rRNA from 1 species